rnacentral:rRNA from 1 species
AAUAGAUACCCGGGUAGUCCACGCCGUAAACGAUGGGUACUAGGUGUUGCGGGAAUUGACCCCUGCAGUGCCGACGCUAACGCAUUAAGUACCCCGCCUGGGAAGUACGGCCGCAAGGUUAAAACUCAAAGGAAUUGACGGGGGCCCGCACAAGCGGUGGAGCAUGUGGUUUAAUUCGACGCAACGCGAAGAACCUUACCUGGAUUUGACAUCCCUGGACAACCCUAGAGAUAGGGCUUCCUCUUCGGAGGCCGGGAGACAGGUGCUGCAUGGCUGUCGUCAGCUCGUAUCGUGAGAUGUCGGGUUAAGUCCCUUAACGAGCGCAACCCUUGUCCUUAGUUGCCAUCAUUUAGUUGGGCACUCUAAGGAGACCGCCGGUGUUAAACCGGAGGAAGGUGGGAUGACGUCAAGUCCUCAUGGCCUUUAUAUCCAGGGCUACACACGUGCUACAAUGGUCGGUACAGAGAGUCGCCAACCCGUGAGGGGGAGCUAAUCUCAGAAAGCCGAUCUCAGUUCGGAUUGAAGUCUGCAACUCGACUUCAUGAAG